rnacentral:rRNA from 1 species
UACGGAGGAUCCAAGCGUUAUCCGGAUUUAUUGGGUUUAAAGGGUGCGUAGGCGGCCUAUUAAGUCAGGGGUGAAAGACGGUAGCUUAACUAUCGCAGUGCCUUUGAUACUGAUGGGCUUGAAUGUACUUGAGGUAGGCGGAAUGUGACAAGUAGCGGUGAAAUGCAUAGAUAUGUCACGGAACACCAAUUGCGAAGGCAGCUUACUAAAGUAUGAUUGACGCUGAGGCACGAAAGCGUGGGGAUCAAACAGG